rnacentral:rRNA from 1 species
UACGGAGGGGGCUAGCGUUGUUCGGAAUUACUGGGCGUAAAGCGCACGUAGGCGGCUUUGCAAGUUAGAGGUGAAAGCCCGGGGCUCAACUCCGGAAUUGCCUUUAAAACUGCAUCGCUAGAAUUGUGGAGAGGUAAGUGGAAUUCCGAGUGUAGAGGUGAAAUUCGUAGAUAUUGGGAAGAACACCGGUGGCGAAGGCGGCGACCUGGUCCAUUACUGACGCUGAGGCGCGAAAGC